AUUGAACGCUGGCGGCAGGCCUAACACAUGCAAGUCGAGCGAGCGGCGGACGGGUGAGUAAUGCCUGGGAAUUGCCCUGUAGAGGGGGAUAACAGUUGGAAACGACUGCUAAUACCGCAUACGCUGUGAUUGCCCAGGUGGGAUUAGCUAGUUGGUGAGGAAAUGGCUCACCAAGGCGACGAUCCCUCGCUGGUCUGAGAGGAUGAUCAGCCACACUGGAACUGAGACACGGUCCAGACUCCUACGGGAGGCAGCAGUGGGGAAUAUUGCACAAUGGGGGAAAGCCUGAUGCAGCCAUGCCGCGUGUAUGAAGAAGGCCUUCGGGUUGUAAAGCACUUUCAGCGAGGAGGCGUUACUCGCAGAAGAAGCACCGGCUAACUCCGUGCCAGCAGCCGCGGUAAUAC
rnacentral:rRNA from 1 species